rnacentral:rRNA from 1 species
UACGAAGGGGGCUAGCGUUGCUCGGAAUUACUGGGCGUAAAGGGCGCGUAGGCGGACAGUUUAGUCAGGGGUGAAAUCCCAGGGCUCAACCCUGGAACUGCCUUUGAUACUGGCUGUCUUGAGUACGGGAGAGGUGUGUGGAACUCCGAGUGUAGAGGUGAAAUUCGUAGAUAUUCGGAAGAACACCAGUGGCGAAGGCGACACACUGGCCCGUUACUGACGCUGAGGCGCGAAAGCGUGGGGAGCAAACAGGAUUAGAUACCCAGUAGUCC